ACGCGGCCGCCGAGGAGCCCGCGCGGCCGUUGGGCUUAGAGACCCGGCCAACGGGCGGCGGGGGCCGCGGCGCCGGGCCGGUCCUGCUGCCCGAGCCCGGAUCUCGGCGCGCCCCUGGUUAGUUUCCUUGGGAAGAGGUUGUUUUCCGGGUUUCCCGAGGGAGCGGAGGCGGGGGGAAGGCAGGGAUCAAUGACUGAAUGGCUACUCCCUGAACCCCUAAUAGAUGUUGGACUACGUUUGUUAAAAAUCGGCCCUACCCUCGAGGAUUUCACCCAUGAGGCUGACCACAGUGAUAACAGCUAGGGAGAAGAGAGCUUGGAAGACAGUUGCAAUGCCUAGCAAGUCAUAGGCAAGGACACCCAGCAGGGCUGUCUGUGAUUACUAUACGAAGAAGCAUGGGACUCAACCUGCAUCAGCUCGGGAUGCUGUUUGACAGCCGUUUAUGCUCCUUGCUUAUCCACAUCUUCUUUAUCCAGUCCUCUAUUGGUGGAUGCUUAGGCUGCUUCCAUAUUUUGGCUGUCAGAAAUAACGAACAUACAGGGAUGACUAUAUCUUUUUGAAUGAGUGUUUUGGAUUUCCUUGGAUGAAUACCCAAAAGUAGGAUUGUCAGGUCCUAUGGUAUUAAUAGUUCUAUUUUUAACUUUUUGAGGAAACUCCAUACUAUUUUCCUUAGAAGUUGCACCAAUUUGCAACCCCACCAACAGUGCACGAGGGUUGAUUUAUUGAUGAUGGUCAUUCUGACAGGUAUAUCUCAUUGUGGUUUUUUAAAAAAAGAUUCUAUUUAUUUAUUUUUAGACAAAGAUAGAAGGGAGAGAGAAAGAGAGGGAGAGAAACAUCUACAUGUUUUUGCCUCUGGAGUGCCCCCUACUGGGGACCUGGUCCACAACCCAGGCAUAUACCCUGACCGGGAAUUGAACCUGUGACCGUCUCUGGGUUGUAGACCGGCGCUCAAUCCACUGAGCCAUACCAGCCAGGGCUCACUGUGGUUUUAACUUGCAAUUCUUUCAUGAUUACAGAGGCCCCUAGGCUAUCUGUAUGUGCUCUUUGGGAAAAUAUCUAUUUCUAUUCA